rfam:Mus musculus chromosome 18, GRC primary reference assembly.
GCCGGGGGCGGUGGCACACACCUGUAGUCCCAGCUACUCAGGAGGCUGAGACAGGAGGAUCUCUUGAGUCCAGUUCUGGUCUGUAGUGCGCUAUGCUGAUCAGGUGUCCGCACUAAGUUUGGCAUUAAUAUGGUGAUCUCUCUGGAGCGGGGGGGGGGGGUGGGGGGUGGGGGGGGGAGAACCACCAGGUUGUCUAAGGAGGGGUGAACCGGCCCAGGUAGGAAACGGAGCAGGUCAAAACUCCCGUGUUGAACAGUAGUGGGAUCUCGCCUGUGAAUAGUAGUAACAGUAGUGAAUAGCCACUGCACUCCAGCCUGGGAAACAUAGUGAGACACCAUCUCUU